GUCCAACUGUACCAUAGUGUCCACGAAGUGACUGCGCCUUCUCAUCAUCAAGACAAAGGAUGAAUCCAAACUUGCACACAGGGUCUACAACAAUCCUGAACAAAGCAACAAUAGCAGAACCAGCUAUCCUCUCCAAAGCACGAACUAUGGUCAUGAACCGGUUGUUAAUUUCAUUAGUAGCGGACCAAGCUACAACCAGACAGUCCUGAUCACCUUCUUGGAUACCAAGAUAGGUCAUAUUGCUCCUGGUCAUCA
rnacentral:lncRNA from 1 species